rnacentral:misc_RNA from 1 species
AAUCAAGAGAAGAAUUGUUGGUCUGCAUCAGAACACUGCAAUUGAAUCAACUGAUAUAACUGACAUGUGGGAGCCACUAGAAGAAGGCCUUCUUCCUCUUGAGACUACUCGACAUGUUUCAAUGAUUACGAUCACUUUUUCAAAGAAGGAGCUGGAUACAUCCUCCACAGGGUAAUUUUGGAUUAGCAGUGAAUGCUGUGACUCUCUGUUAGCAAUGUAACUAUGUUGGUGUUUUGUCAUUGGGGUACAUGGUGCAUAGACAGUGAUGAUUAUAAAUCAGAUAUCAACCUCCUCUUCCAGUUGAUCAGGUGAAGCCAUUGAAUGAAUUUGAAGAUGAAGGAGGUGUAGUGACAACCUUUUCUAUUGAUUUAUGAGGCUCUUUGCUGUUUUUAAGAAUAGGAUUGAUUUGUAUGCUUCCUUCUAAUUCAGAAGGCUCACCAAGGAUGAGAGGAAGGGAGCAUGCUAGUUGGGGAAGAGGAAGGGGCAGAGGUAGAGCUAGAGCUUAUUGCUUCUACAGAAUAUUCAUUUUUUGAUGUUUCAUUUAUGUUGCUUAUGGUUUAAAGAUCUAAGUGGAUACUUUUAAGCGUAUGCAGCAAUUUGUUGGUUUUCCUAUUAUAGUUUAGCAUCAUUAUCACAAGGUAACUGACAUCAUGUGAGUUUUUAAUUAAUUCUCCUUUUAGUUGUGGCUUCUGUUGUUCUUAGUUUUCUAAUUUUGUAUUUGUGUUUGUAUCAUUUUAUGUUUGCUUUAUAUGUGAAUUCAUUUCAAUCUAUCAAAAAUUUACAGCCGCUGAACGAAUUUCUAAACAAAAGGAGGUCAAAAGCUCGGUUUAAGUCAUGGUUAUAAGACAUGUUCUUUGGAUGUGAAAUGUGUCUCCUGAAAUUAUUUGGAAAAUAUGUUCUUUCUAGUGAUGCCAUGUUCAUUGAAUUCUGUUUUUAUAUGCCAACCUGGCUUAAUUUUCUCACUGGAUCAUUAUUAUUUUUGUUAUUACGUAUUGGUAGGGAAUUACAAUGGAGGUGGAGAUUAUAAUGGUGAUGGUUGGGCUGGUGGGCAUGGUUAUGGUGGCAGAGGUCGAGGCCGUCUAAGGGGCCGUUUCUUCCGAGGCCGAGGCCGUGGUCGAGGGCGAGGAUUUGGUGGUCAAUCAAGUGGAUACAAUGACUAUGGUGAAUUUGAAGCACUGCCUGCCCCUGGUCGU